UGGCUCAACUGGUAGAGCAUGGCAUUAACAUUGCCAGGGUUAUUGGAUUCGAUUCCCACUGAGACCACCCA